rnacentral:rRNA from 1 species
UACGGGGGGGGGCAAGCGUUGUUCGGAAUUACUGGGCGUAAAGGGCUCGUAGGUGGUCAACUAAGUCAUACGUGAAAUCCCUCGCUUAACCGGGGAACUGCGCCUGAUACUGGUUGACUUGAGUUUGGGAGAGGGACGCGGAAUUCCAGGUGUAGCGGUGAAAUGCGUAGAUAUCUGGAGGAACACCGGUGGCGAAGGCGGCGUCCUGGACCAAUACUGACACUGAGGAGCGAAAGCCAGGGGAGCAAACGGG